GAUGAACGCUGGCGGCGUGCCUAAUACAUGCAAGUCGAGCGAACAGACGAGGAGCUUGCUCCUCUGACGUUAGCGGCGGACGGGUGAGUAACACGUGGAUAACCUACCUAUAAGACUGGGAUAACUUCGGGAAACCGGAGCUAAUACCGGAUAAUAUAUUGAACCGCAUGGUUCAAUAGUGAAAGACGGUUUUGCUGUCACUUAUAGAUGGAUCCGCGCCGCAUUAGCUAGUUGGUAAGGUAACGGCUUACCAAGGCAACGAUGCGUAGCCGACCUGAGAGGGUGAUCGGCCACAUGGGAACUGAGACACGGUCCAGACUCCUACGGUAGGCAGCAGUAGGGAAUCUUCCGCAAUGGGCGAAAGCCUGACGGAGCAACGCCGCGUGAGUGAUGAAGGUCUUCGGAUCGUAAAACUCUGUUAUUAGGGAAGAACAAAUGUGUAAGUAACUAUGCACGUCUUGACGGUACCUAAUCAGAAAGCCACGGCUAACUACGUG
rnacentral:rRNA from 1 species